rnacentral:rRNA from 1 species
UGGGGAAUUUUGGACAAUGGGCGCAAGCCUGAUCCAGCCAUGCCGCGUGCGGGAAGAAGGCCUUCGGGUUGUAAACCGCUUUUGUCAGGGAAGAAAUCUUCUGAGUUAAUACCUCGGGAGGAUGACGGUACCUGAAGAAUAAGCACCGGCUAACUACGUGCCAGCAGCCGCGGUAAUACGUAGGGUGCAAGCGUUAAUCGGAAUUACUGGGCGUAAAGCGUGCGCAGGCGGUUUUGUAAGACAGAGGUGAAAUCCCCGGGCUCAACCUGGGAACUGCCUUUGUGACUGCAAGGCUUGAGUGCGGCAGAGGGGGAUGGAAUUCCGCGUGUAGCAGUGAAAUGCGUAGAUAUGCGGAGGAACACCGAUGGCGAAGGCAAUCCCCUGGGCCUGCACUGACGCUCAUGCACGAAAGCGUGGGGAGCAAACAGGAUUAGAUAGCCCUGGUAGUCCACGCCCUAAACCGAUGUCAACUGGUUGUUGGGAAGGUUCCUUCUCAGUAACGUAGCUAACGCGUGAAGUUGACCGCCUGGGGAGUACGGCCGCAA